rnacentral:rRNA from 1 species
GCGUUGAGCAUGUUCUUGCGGGAACAUAGGAGCCAUCAGUGAGAUACCACUCUUCUAAUGUUAGAUUUCUAACCUUGUACCAUUAUCUGGUCAAGGAACAGUUUCAGGCGGGCAGUUUGACUGGGGCGGUCGCCUCCUAAAUGGUAACGGAGGCGUACGAAGGUUUCCUCUGAACGAAUAGAAAUCGUAUCUAGAGUAUAAAGGCAUAAGGAAGCUUGACUGUGAGACCUACAAGUCGAGCAGGGACGAAAGUCGGUCUUAGUGAUCUGACGGUACUGAGUGGAAAGGCCGUCACUCAACGGAUAAAAGUUACUCUAGGGAUAAC